UCCAACAACAAUCGUGCGUCGAUCAAGCGCGGUCGGUUACCAAGUGUGUUACUUGCCUACUCUGCAUUGUUUCGAUCGAAUGUUCCUCCCGGCUGCUACUAUACUAUCGGCGCUCCGUGCGAUGCCGUAGGGUUUCGUUGACCCCCCACGACACACGACACACUGGCCAGUCGAAGACGAAGAAGAAGAAGAAGAAGAAGAAGAAG